AGCUCCAAUAGCGUAUAUUAAAGUUGUUGCGGUUAAAAAGCUCGUAGUUGGAUUUCUGUUGAUCGCAGCGCGUCUACCUUUUGGGUAAGUAUGUUGCUUGGGAUCGGCAUCUUCGUGGAAGACGUUUCUGCGCUUGAUUGCGUGGGGCGGAGUUCACGACUUUUACUUUGAGGAAAUUAGAGUGUUCACGGCAGGCAUACGCCUUGAAUAUAUUAGCAUGGAAUAAUAAUAUAGGAUCUUGGUUCUAUUUUGUUGGUUUCUAGAGCUAAGAUAAUGAUUAAUAGGGACACCUGGGGGCAUUCGUAUUAACGCGUCAGAGGUGAAAUUCUUGGAUUGCGUUACGACGAACUACUGCGAAAGCAUCUGCCAUGAUUGUUUUCA
rnacentral:rRNA from 1 species